GGUGAGAAUCCCGUCUUUGACACGGACAACUAGUGCUAUGUGAUGCGCUCUCGACGAGUCGAGUUGUUUGGGAAUGCAGCUCAAAAUGGGUGGUAAAUUCCAUCUAAAGCUAAAUACAUGCGAGAGACCGAUAGCGAACAAGUACCGUGAGGGAAAGAUCAAAAGAACUUUGAAAAGAGAGUUAAACAGUACGUGAAAUUGCUGAAAGGGAAACGCUUGAUGUCAGUCGCGUUGAUUAGGGAUCAGCCUUGCUUAAUUGUCUCGGUGUAAUUCCUAGUUGACGGGUCAGCAUCAGUUUUGAUUACUGUACAAAGGCGAAGGGAAAGUAGCACUCUUUCGGGAGUGUAUUAUAGACCCUCGUCAAAUGCAGUGGUUGGGACUGAGGAGCUCUGCACGAACUAGCUUUUGUGCAAGGGAUGCUGGCAUAAUGGCCUUAAGCGACCCGUCUUGAAACACGGACCAAGGAGUCUAACAUGCCUGCGAGUGUUUGGGUUUGUAAACUCGAGCGCGAAAUGAAAGUGAAAAGUUGAGACCUCUGUCAUGGAGGGCAUCGACGCCCGGACCUGAGUCUUUGACUAGGGAUCUGCGGUAGAGCAUGCAUGUUGGGACCCGAAAGAUGGUGAACUAUGCCUGAAUAGGGUGAAGCCAGAGGAAACUCUGGUGGAGGCUCGUAGCGAUUCUGACGUGCAAAUCGAUCGUCG
rnacentral:rRNA from 1 species